rnacentral:misc_RNA from 1 species
UUUGAGGGCAUGGAAAUAUGUGGCACAGGCAGUAAAGAGUACAUACAUAGAUAUAAGCUUUUCUUUUAUCUUUUUUUAACUAGAUAGGCAUACGGCUUUUCAGCAUACUGGAAGUUAAAAGUUUUGCUCAACAUUUUCAGUUGUCCGUAUUUAUGUAAUAUAUAAAAGCUGAAGCAAGAAAGCAAUACUGCUUAGGAAUAGUGGUCCUUUGUCCUUUUCUCCCCUUCCUUGUAAACUUUUUCCAUCUUUAUUCUUGAUGUGUUU